UCUGAGGAGGUGUCUGGGACUGCCAGGGGCUGGCUGCACGCCUCAGGGGGACGGCCGAUUGUGGGACCGCGGUCGGCAGGGCCGCGCCGCUGGGGCAGCCCCCGGGGCGGCGCGGAGGGAGUUAACGCAGUGGCGGCCUUGCCCCAGCCCUCGCGCGUGCGCACUGGGCAGGCGGCGGGUCUGGCGGUAGCCCAGGCGCGCCACCCUUGACCCCUGUGCUUCGCACGCUGUGCGGCCGGCUGCUGGACCGAGGGCGGUGCGGGCGCUCCGGCUUCUGGCUGCGGGCCGUGGGGGGUCCCGCGGGGCUCAGGCGGCCCAGGGGCCUGAGUGGGUGCGGGGCUGGGUUCUUGCGGUUAAAAACCACGUAAGGUGGGCGGAGUGACCGUGCGGACGCCGCUGCUGCGCGGACGGAGCUCGGCCGGGUUCCGAGACUAGACGGGGGACAGUGCGACCGUCACGAACUGGGAGCGAACAUCAGGGUAGAAGACAGGAUGCGGAGGGGGAAGCGCCUCCGAGGAGGUGACACUGCGGCUGAGACCCGAGGGGGAGGGGGCGCCCGGCAGAGGGAAUAGCCGCGCUACGGCGUUGCAAGAAGGGAGGGGAGGCCAGUGUGGCGGCUCGCAGGCCAGGCUACGAAGGUGGAGUUCAGCGGUGGUGGGGCGACGUGGAGGAUGUGCAACAUCCGGCGCCGAGGCUUCUUCACUCUGGCCGGUGAACAGCGCAGGCAGGGAGGCAGUCAGCCUUCUGGCAAAGCAGUGGCCCGGGCCCAGGCAGGAGGCUGGGAGAAUAAAACCCGGCGCCAAAGAGGCUAGGGCUUUCGGGUUUUGUUCCCCACGGGGCCGCCAGCGUUCCCCCACCCAUGUCCGGCAAGCGGUUGUUACUGCAUGACCCUUGGUGGGAGCAAGGAAGGUGCACCCCGCCCCAGACGUUGUCCGAACAGGUAGGUGCAUCAAGGAAGAGAAGGGAACAGAUCGAAAUCGGAUCUUUCUGGAGAAAGGAAUCACUGUGAUUUGGAGACGGACUAACCGCUAGGACAAGGACAGGGGAGUCCAGGUUGCAGCUUGGUGACCAGACGGUUGGUACUGCAGACGCUGUCUGCACGUCAUUGUUCUCUGCGCUCUGUGGUUUUCCCAGCCUGUGGAUGGUGGUGCCUUUCCCUGUCCAGCCAAUCUGGCCCCAUCCGGAGGUUGUCAGCUGUGCCCCAGCACCUUCACCCCGGGCUGGGGGGUGUCUCAGAGUCACGGACAAAAGGGAGCCCGGAAGGAGCAGCCCCCUCCUGUGUCCCUUCUGCUAAGGCACCAACACAUUUCUAGGGGGGAUGUGUUGGCAGGCAGGCAGUCAGUCCGGUGCAGGGGCCUCCCUUUGGAUUUAGAUUUGCCCUGGUGUGGUGGGGGUGCAUUUAGAGCAUUGAAUUCUCUACUGUCAUUGUCACGUCUGCCAUGGCCACGCACGGAGGAGUGAGUGGAACAGAGGGCAGCCCUGGCUCUGCCCUGCAGCCGUCAAGGGGCCCAGAGGGUCAGCACUGGGGACAGGGUGGCCGUGGCAGCAUGUCGGAGCCCCACACAUCCUGGGCCCACCAUUAGUGCAUGCCCAGGGCCGCACCGGCACCCUAGGUGGGGAGGGAGUGGGCGAGCAACCCCACCUUGGCAAGGGUGGGAACAAUUCAGCCGCGCAGCCAACCCCCGCUACUUUUUAAAAAAUGAGCGGAAUGCUAUAGUUUGGCAUGCAUAUAAAUUUUAACACGUUUUAUGUUAAAUCUAAAAGCAUGAUUUAUUCAUACACAUGAAUUUAAUCAAGUUUGUUUCUAAAUAUUGCUGAUUUUUGUUACCAAGUGUGUUAUCAGCUGUUGAGCUUUAAAAUUUGAGCAUCUUUUGCCGUUUUGAAGAUGAACAGAACGUGUUCAGAAGAAACAUAAGGAAAUAAAUCUGGAGGCCGCCUGUCCCCUGGCCUUCCAGGAGUUCUGGCUUCACCCUUCUUACACCCCUGUGCCAACUUACUGAGGCCCUGGGGGCUGAGGGCUGGGACGCUACGUCCUUUGGGGACCUCGGGAGGCCUUUGGCCCAGGUUUGGUGGAGGGGGGUGGGGCAGGGCUCCUGGAGACUGCAUUGGGCAGCCAGCCCCAGGCCUGGAGCACUAUACCACAGGCAUCUUUCAGGCUUUGCCAGUGUCCUGAGCCCCUCCCUUCCCUUCCAGGGUCGGGGGCCACCUGCUGGCAUGUGGCGCUGCUCUCCAUUUGGAAACGGAAGUCAAGGAUAGUGUGCCUGAGCUGGGGCGGUCACAGCUGGGCGCGGAGCAGUGGAGCUCAUACGCCGCAUUGUUGGCGGACCUGUGGGCCGUGUCGCAGUGUCGACUGGGGCCAAGAUGGCUUGGCCCUGCUCCCAGGACCCACGUUGUGCCAUCCACAGCCAGCCUUCUUGGGACUUAUCCAACCCUGCAGGCGUCUGAUGCCAGCAUCUGUGUGGUGUAGGCCGGGCCCCAGGAGCGGGGCCUGGGCAGCCCUGUGUGUUGAGGAAGGAAGGCAGGGCCCCCGCUCCCCGGGCCCGACCCCGUAGCUUCAGCUCCUCGUGCCUGUUUGAGGACAACACCACGUGGGCCUAUCAGGUGGGGAUGGGACUCCAGGGCCCAGCGCCCCGCUUCCUGGUGCUCUCCUGGGCGGGCUGCCGGGGUCGAGACCUCUGCCUUGUCGCGCCUUCUCAGGCAGCCUCUCAACCUACCUUCCCUGAGCCCCCUCGUGCAGGGACCCCAGGGGCUUUGCUGUCCUUUGGGAAAGGGAGAUAGGCUUCAGGGACUCGAACCUCCCAGGGUUUGGAGGUGGACCUGAGCCGGGGUUCAAGGAAGGCACCUCGCGUCUGCAGAGUGGGAUAUCACACGUGGCCCGCUUGCCUCAGCUGAGGGGUGGAGUGAGCAGCCUAAUCCUGACUUUGGUUUUGGGGGGACCUCUUAGAACCUCUGUGGCCACCUCUUUGCUGCAGGAGCCCCUCUGGGUCCAGAUAGAGCCCAAGCUGUCUACCCAGGAACGUCCCUUGGUGUGCAGGUAAGGGCCACAGGGUCUGGGUGAGCACAGGUGGCCCUCCCUUCUCACUGACCAGUCUGUGUGGGAACGGGGGCGGCGGGGGGGGGGGGGGUGGUCUCAGAGGACCUGGCUGGCCUACACCAUUGAUGUCGUGCUGGUUCCCAGAAGCGAGCCGAACAGCAGCUGGCAUGGGGUGUCCUGCAGAUGCCAUCGCCAAAUCUGUUGCCCUGGCUGGUGGUCUAGCCCCGGGCUGGCCUCUCGGAAACCUCCGCCCUCACCUCCAGGUUCUGGCACUGUGGGUGUCCAGGCUGACUGCUCUGGGGCGCUGGGACGUUGCUGUCUCUGUGGUCAAGGGACUGACUGACUUCAGCCCAGGCUCAUGCGGGUCCAGGCUGGACCGGACGGGCUGGCUUCUCUCCCACCUGCGAUGUGUGGUCAUUCCCAGGCAGCUUGCGGCCACCCUUGGACCAGCCUUCCGGCCUUCCUUCCAGCUGCUGGCCUUGGCUCACUCCUUCUUCUGCCCUGGUCCUGUCAGCUGCUUUGUGAGACAGGGCUGAAGGCCCCUGAGACUGAGGUGACCUUCGCUCCUCCUGGAGUCCUGGAUUGAAGAUCUGGAUUGGCGUUUGCCCAGCAAAAAAACCUGUCCAGUUUGUUUUUCUGUGUCCCUGCGACCGUAGGGUCAGGGACACCGUGGGGGGCAGGGGCUAGGCCCUAGGGUAGGGUCACUUCUGCUAGCCUGUGGGUCUUCCUAAGUGAGGUGGGGUCUCGCCAGCUCAAGUGGACCACGAAGGCACACUUGUGGACCCCUUGAGGAUGUGAACCUGCACACUGCAGUCGUGGUGGAGACUGGGAUCGUGUCCUGGGACCUGGCUCUUAUCUGGAGUACCCAACUAAAUAAAGACCCUGUGUCCCGGCUCCCUCUCCCUGGAGCAGCCAUGUGCCUGCGUUCUGUGCAACAACGUGGACGCAGAAGCACAUGACAUCCGGGAGCUGUGUCCUCCUCCCGUCCCCCUGCUGCUUCUGUCUGGAGCCUCAGGGUGACCUUGAACCCAAGAGCAGAGCUUGAGGGAGGCCUGCACCUGGACAGAGCAGGCAGAUGGAGGCUGGCUUCCUGAGGCCUUGUUGGCGACAACACCCAGACCACUGUCUCUGGACUUUGUACUUGACCGAGAAAUAAACGCCUGUCUGUUUUCAAAGCUG